rnacentral:lncRNA from 1 species
UAACAGCGUCAUUUGGUAAUACAUCUCGGUGAGGUUUAGCGAUGGUCCAUAUUUGGUCCUAAUAACUUCAACAGAAACAAGAGGCAGGCAUGUCAAAAAAAUGUUGGAAGAAAAAAAAGAAAAAAAAAAAGAAAAAGAAAAAAAAACAUUAGAAAAACAAUAAGGUCUUUCCCAUGUAGGGGAAAGACCUUAAAAAGAAAAAGAAAAAGAAAAAAAAACAUUAGAAAAACAAUAAGGUCUUUCCUCACGUAGGGGAAAGACCUUAAUUA